rnacentral:rRNA from 1 species
GAUGAACGCUAGCUACAGGCUUAACACAUGCAAGUCGAGGGGAAACGAUAGAGAAAGCUUGCCUUUUCUAGGCGUCGACCGGCGCACGGGUGAGUAAAGCGUAUCCAACCUGCCCACCACUUGGGGAUAACCUUGCGAAAGUAAGACUAAUACCCAAUGAUAUCUCUAGAAGACAUCUGAAAGGGAUUAAAGAUUUAUCGGUGAUGGAUGGGGAUGCGUCUGAUUAGCUUGUUUGCGGGGUAACGGCCCACCAAGGCGACGAUCAGUAGGGGUUCUGAGAGGAAGGGCCCCCACAUGGGAACUGAGACACGGUCCAAACUCCUACGGGAGGCAGCAGUGAGGAAUAUUGGUCAAUGGGCGAGAGCCUGAACCAGCCAAGUAGCGUGCAGGAUGACGGCCCUAUGGGUUGUAAACUGCUUUUAUAAGGGAAUAAAGUGAGUCUCGUGAGACUUUUUGCAUGUACCUUAUGAAUAAGGACCGGCUAAUUCCGUGCCAGCCGCCGCCUAA